rnacentral:miRNA from 1 species
CCUCAUAACAACUUUAUUAGUGAGGCACUAUUAUCACCAUUUUACAGAUUAAGCAACUGAUGGUCAAGACUCUUAAAGUUAU